rnacentral:rRNA from 1 species
GACGAACGCUGGCGGCGUGCUUAACACAUGCAAGUCGAACGGAAAGGCCCGGCUUUUGUGGGGUGCUCGAGUGGCGAACGGGUGAGUAACACGUGAGUAACCUGCCCUUGACUUUGGGAUAACUUCAGGAAACUGGGGCUAAUACCGGAUAGGAGCUCCUGCUGCACGGUGGGGGUUGGAAAGUUUCGGCGGUUGGGGAUGGACUCGCGGCUUAUCAGCUUGUUGGUGGGGUAGUGGCUUACCAAGGCUUUGACGGGUAGCCGGCCUGGGAGGGUGACCGGCCACAUGGGGACUGAGGUACGGCCCAGACUGCUACGGGAGGCAGCAGUGGGGAAUAUUGCACAAUGGGCGGAAGCCUGAUGCAGAAACGCCGCGUGCGGGAUGACGGCCUUCGGGUUGUAAACCGCUUUCGCCUGUGACGAAGCGUGAGUGACGGUAAUGGGUAAAGAAGCACCGGCUAACUACGUG